rnacentral:lncRNA from 1 species
UCCCAAAGUGCUGGGAUUACAGGCAUGAGCCACCGUGCCCAGCCCACACUCCAAAGUUUUAAAGGAUCUCAGAGAAGAGAGUGACUAUCAAAGCAUUUUGCAAAACCCUAGCUUAGCUGGGUGCUGUGGCUCAUGCCUGUAAUCCCAGCACUUUGGGAGGCCAAGGCGGGUGGAUCACGAGGUCAGGAGAUCGAGACCAUCCUGGCUAACUUGGU